rnacentral:rRNA from 1 species
GAGAGGUAACGGCUCACCAAGGCAUCGACGGGUAGCUGGUCUGAGAGGAUGAUCAGCCACACUGGAACUGAGACACGGUCCAGACUCCUACGGGAGGCAGCAGUGGGGAAUCUUGCACAAUGGGCGCAAGCCUGAUGCAGCGAUGCCGCGUGCGGGAAGAAGGCCUUAGGGUUGUAAACCGCUUUCAGGAGGGAAGAAAAUGACGGUACCUCCAGAAGAAGGUGCGGCCAGCUACGUGCCAGCAGCCGCGGUGACACGUAGGCACCAAGCGUUGUCCGGAUUUAUUGGGCGUAAAGAGCUCGUAGGCGGUUCAGUCAGUCGGGUGUGAAAACUUGAGGCUUAACCUCAAGAGGUCACUCGAUACUACUGUGACUAGAGUGCGGUAGGGGAGCGGGGAAUUCCUGGUGUAGCGGUGAAAUGCGCAGAUAUCAGGAGGAACACCAGUGGCGAAGGCGCCGCUCUGGGCCGUAACUGACGCUGAGGAGCGAAAGCAUGGGUAGCAAACAGGAUUAGAUACCCUGGUAGUCCAUGCCGUAAACGUUGGGCACUAGGUGUGGGUCUCAACCAACGAGAUCCGCGCCGUCGCUAACGCAUUAAGUG